AAAGAAGAGCUGUGUAGAGAGAUGUGGUCCAGGGGCCACUGAAAGGGCAGAAAUGGCAGACAUUCUGAAUUUCUUACAUCAUUUCCUGUGGGGUGAUGCUGGUAAGACAGGGACACAAGGAUGGAACUCAGACAUGGACCAGGAGACCAAGACCGUAGGAUUCUGCUCAAAACAUGGUAGACUCAGUUUUGAUCAGGUACCUCCCAGUGUUAACAUUCACAAAAGAAGGAACUGCGAAAGGAAGUGAUGUCAUUGCAAUUUGCAUGGAGGAAGCUUCUGGAAAAAGGAGAAGCUAUGCGCUUCAAUUAUAAGCAAUGGACUUGCAGGGGGACAGGGGACAAGUCACGUGACCUUCAGAAAGCAACUGAUGUAUUCGGUAUAAGGUCAGCGCCAGCAGGUUCAAUACUGAAAUCCUACGUUCAAUUCCAAGCGUGUGCAAGGCAUCUUACAACUCGCUGCAACUCCAGUCCCAGAAGCUCUAACACCCUCUCCUGGCCUCCAUGGGCGUUGUAUGUAUGUGUAGUACAUGCACAUAUACAGGCAAAA
rnacentral:lncRNA from 1 species